ensembl:scaRNA
UGGCUCAAUUUUCUUGGGAGGUUAGUCCAGCCUACUCACCUCCCCUCAGCUGAGCCUACAGUAAAGGAGCCAGGUGUCUGUCUAUGUGGGAGAGGUGCAUAAGAAAAACCUACCCCAUUCAAGCUGGCCUCACACUU